rnacentral:rRNA from 1 species
CCUACGGGAGGCAGCAGUGAGGAAUAUUGGUCAAUGGGCUUACGCCUGAACCAGCCAAGUCGCGUGAGGGAAGACUGCCCUAUGGGUUGUAAACCUCUUUUGUCAGGGAGCAAUUUGCGCUACGUGUAGCGUUAUCGAGAGUACCUGAAGAAAAAGCAUCGGCUAACUCCGUGCCAGCAGCCGCGGUAAUACGGAGGAUGCGAGCGUUAUCCGGAUUUAUUGGGUUUAAAGGGUGCGUAGGCGGAAUGCCAAGUCAGCGGUAAAAUCGCGGGGCUCAACCUCGCUCCGCCGUUGAAACUGGCGGUCUUGAGUGGGCGAGAAGUAUGCGGAAUGCGUGGUGUAGCGGUGAAAUGCAUAGAUAUCACGCAGAACUCCGAUUGCGAAGGCAGCAUACCGGCGCCCAACUGACGCUGAAGCACGAAAGCGUGGGUAUCGAACAGGAUUAGAUACCCCUGUAGUC